rnacentral:rRNA from 1 species
GACGAACGCUGGCGGCGUGCUUAACACAUGCAAGUCGAACGGUAAGGCCCUUCGGGGUACACGAGUGGCGAACGGGUGAGUAACACGUGGGUGAUCUACCCUGCACUUCGGGAUAAGCCUGGGAAACUGGGUCUAAUACCGGAUAGGACCACUGCCUGCAUGGGUGGUGGUGGAAAGCCUUUGCGGUGUGGGAUGGGCCCGCGGCCUAUCAGCUUGUUGGUGGGGUGAUGGCCUACCAAGGCGACGACGGGUAGCCGGCCUGAGAGGGUGACCGGCCACACUGGGACUGAGAUACGGCCCAGACUCCUACGGGAGGCAGCAGUGGGGAAUAUUGCGCAAUGGGCGAAAGCCUGACGCAGCAACGCCGCGUGCGGGAUGACGGCCUUCGGGUUGUAAACCGCUUUCAGCAGGGAAGAAGCCGCAAGGUGACGGUACCUGCAGAAGAAGCACCGGCUAACUACGUGCCAGCCGCCGCCGUAA